rnacentral:rRNA from 14 species
GGAAACGGUAGCUAAAUCCCCAUAUGCCGAGAGGUGAAAUAGUUAAUCACUGCCUAAGGAUGAGCUCGCGCCUGAUUAGCUUGUUGGUGAGGUAAUGGCUCACCAAGGCCACGAUCAGUAGCUGGUUUGAGAGAACGAUCAGCCACACUGGGACUGAGACACGGCCCAGACUCCUCCGGGAGGCAGCAGUGAGGAAUUUUCCGCAAUGGGCGAAAGCCUGACGGAGCAAUACCGCGUGAGGGAUGAAGGAUUUUGGUCUGUAAACCUCUUUUCUCAAGAAAGAAGUUCUGACGGUACUUGAGGAAUAAGCAUCGGCUAACUCCGUGCCAGCAGCCGCGGUAAUACGGGGGAUGCAAGCGUUAUCCGGAAUCAUUGGGCGUAAAGCGCCUGUAGGUUGUCUAAUAAGUCCGUUGUUAAAGACCAGGGCUUAACCCUGGGAAAGCAAUGGAAACUACUAGGCUUGAGUAUGGUAGGGGUAGAGGGAAUUUCUAGUGUAGCGGUGAAAUGCGUAGAUAUUAGAAAGAACACCGGUGGCGAAAGCGCUCUACUGGGCCAUUACUGACACUCAGAGGCGAAAGCUAGGGGAGCGAAAGGGAUUAGAUACCCCUGUAGUCCUAGCCGUAAACGAUGGAUACUAGGUGUUGUGUUUUUAUACAGUAUCGUAGCUAACGCGUUAAGUAUCCCGCCUGGGGAGUACGCUCGCAAGGGUGAAACUCAAAGGAAUUGACGGGGGCCCGCACAAGCGGUGGAGCAUGU